CCAUAAGGUUACAGUGAUGCCAAUAACGAAUCAGCUGAUUUUGACAGUUGGGGAAACAUAACCUAUAUCGAUUAACAACAUCGUUACGAAGGAUACUAUAAAAAUUAUGAGAACCAAACGAUACGACGGACAUGUCAAAAAAUGUCUCUGAAAUCGUUUCUAAGAAACAUAAUGCUCACCUUUUUGCUGAGAAAUGAACUCGUUCUUCGAUUAAUCGUGCGCUCUGCUAUUGGGAUUCUGGGUCGAUUAAACUCCUCUGGUUUCUUCACUCUGUGGAAAAAAACAUAAAAAAAUAUACCAACUCAAAUGAAUAUAGCAGAGGGAGUUUCAACAUACGUAGCUGAAAAUAUGGAAUAAUCACCUGUAAAUCCUAACAAGCCAAUGCUCAGUGGUAUAUGCUUCGUCCAAAUAUGUGAGUUGAAAGUUUUUGUUGCCUAUUUCCGCGUUACGAGUACGAUCAAAGCCUGCGGGAGAGCGAUAGUCGAUCUUGACUUCUCCAAAUCGAUAAUAACUCAGUUUGUACAUAAGGGAAUUGAGCAGACGUUGAACUC